rnacentral:lncRNA from 1 species
ACACUAUCAUGGCCGCCAUCAUGAACUGGGCUGGGCCAAAUGGGAAAGCCCGGGGGGUGGGGGGCUGAAAGUGAAGUUCAAGGUGAGAGCGUUUCUCUUACAUGCAUAAGACUCUGGAGUCCAUUCACAGCGUGGGAAAAUUAAUUAUGAACAGCAUCUUCUGCCCCUAAGCAGAAAGAGCAGGCCCAUUUGUUCAGAAUGCCAGAACGUCGUAGCCGUCAGGUGUUGAGUCUCUGACUGCUGCUGGAAUGCUUUAUUUCGUAGAGGUCCUGCUGGAAGCCCUGUUCCUCUCCGUGGACCCUUACAUGAGAGUUGCAGCAAAAAAACUGAAGGAGGGCGACAGCAUGAUGGGUGAACAAGUGGCCAGAGUUGUGGAAAGUAAAAACUCAGCCUUCCCAACGGGAACGAUUGUUGUGGCUUUAUUAGGUUGGACAUCACAUUCCAUUUCUGAUGGGAAUGGACUGAGAAAGCUACCUGCAGAGUGGCCUGACAAGCUACCACUGUCUUUGGCUUUGGGGACAGUUGGCAUGCCAGGCCUCACUGCCUACUUUGGCCUGCUUGACAUCUGUGGC